GACGAACACUGGCGGCGUGCUUAACACAUGCAAGUCGAACGGAAAGGCCCUGCUUUUGUGGGGUGCUCGAGUGGCGAACGGGUGAGUAACACGUGAGUAACCUGCCCUUGACUUUGGGAUAACUUCAGGAAACUGGGGCUAAUACCGGAUAGGAGCUCCUGCUGCAUGGUGGGGGUUGGAAAGUUUCGGCGGUUGGGGAUGGACUCGCGGCUUAUCAGCUUGUUGGUGGGGUAGUGGCUUACCAAGGCUUUGACGGGUAGCCGGCCUGAGAGGGUGACCGGCCACAUUGGGACUGAGAUACGGCCCAGACUCCUACGGGAGGCAGCAGUGGGGAAUAUUGCACAAUGGGCGGAAGCCUGAUGCAGCAACGCCGCGUGCGGGAUGACGGCCUUCGGGUUGUAAACCGCUUUCGCCUGUGACGAAGCGUGAGUGACGAUAAUGGGUAAAGAAGCACCGGCUAACUACGUG
rnacentral:rRNA from 1 species